rnacentral:rRNA from 1 species
UACGAGGGGGGCAAGCGUUGUUCGGAAUUAUUGGGCGUAAAGGGCGCGUAGGCGGUGCGGUAAGUCACCUGUGAAAUCUCUGGGCUCAACUCAGAGUCUGCAGGCGAAACUGCCGUGCUGGAGUAUGGGAGAGGUGCGUGGAAUUCCCGGUGUAGCGGUGAAAUGCGCAGAUAUCGGGAAGAACACCCGUGGCGAAGGCGGCUCUCUGGGACGGUACUGACGCUGAGACGCGAAAGCGUGGGGAGCGAACAGG